UGUGAAAUUACACAUGUGAUCCUUGCAUCUGGUGGUAUUCAUGAAAGAAAUGUGAUGGAGAACUGAACACUGCAUUGGAAGUGAAGAGGCAGCUGCUCUGAACUGUGGAUGUUCUGGAACAAGAUACAGAAACCUGUCACUUGCGUCAAUGUACAAACCCCUCUGGUUUCAGCAACAAAAGGCAGGUGUCAAUGCAAUGCAGAAGCUGAGGAAAGAGUUUUAUCUUUAGGAGCCUGGUCCAUCAGCUGCCCUCAGCCAAGCACUGCUGACUGAACACUGUGUGUGCAUGUGCAGAUGUUCCGAUGUGGCUUACAGGAAAGAAGAGAAUAAUCCAGCGUCAGGCAGUGUCAGCUAAAAAAAGAAUCCCUGAAGAAGUUUACUUCCAGGAUGGCUGGGUGGUCAGAGAUCUUCACUGAACUGACAGGUACCCCUCUGUUCUUUCCUAUUGUGCCCUGAAGUCAGACAUGCAUAUAGUGAUUUCAGUGCAUCACAUCCUUCAGUUCAUUGUGGGCCUGAAAACCUAACACAAAAGGCCAGGAAAAGGAAGGAGCAAUGCCAGUUAUUCCCCAGUGCCAGAACAACUUUGCCUAGGAAAUGAGUGAGGUGAAAACUCUCUGAUGAAGCUGCACUUCCUUCAUCCCUGUGCCAUGAAACUCAGGGAGUGCUGGUGACUGCCCUUUUUGCGUUAUAUAAUGAAAACCUAGAGAAAGCUAUUUAGAACACUCCUGACUGUUAGAAACGAGUCCAUGUGGAGAAAAAUAAGAGAUUGUGAAGUACCUCUGGUGGCUAAAUGCCUACAGGCUCUGGAAACAAACCCUGGAGUAGGGAAACCCUUACUGUAAUCAUCUGCCCAAACUCCAACAGAAGGAGCCGGUGCUUGAGGACAACUCCGGAGUCCAUCUGGCAUCACAGGAUGGGAGUUCCUUCUACUGGAGAUACAGUGGGCUGCCACAAUAGGGAACAGCUGCCUAUGGACUUUACUGUGUCAGACACCACCACUUUACAGUGAUCCCUGUCCAAUGCAUGGAGAACCAUUGGAAGGAAUUCCUCUGCUACAGGCAAACAUUUGUCACUUUUCAUUUGCAAAUAUCAAGGUGAGGAAUUAAACAAAUACAUGAACGCUUGUUUUCAAGCCUGUUUUCUCCUUUGAUAAUUUGUGCAUGGCUUAUGAUUAUGUGUUUCCUGUACAACUUUGGAAUUCCCUGCUAGGCUCUGCCCCAAACACUGGCCAUGGGCCCACUGGCUCCAAACCAGUUCUCUGCAUCAAAGGGUUUUCUCCUGGCUCCUUCACAAGGAAGAACUCAGUUUACAUUUCCUGCAUCCACUGAUAAAACUUGGAUUCACCAGGUAACACCAGGGACCCCAGCACCUCUGGACACUUCUUCCUUUGUGGCAAUUUUUCAUUUUGAUACUGAUUGUGAAAUCUGAAUUUCCAGGAAAGCCUGUUCAUCUUAGGUCAGGAAUUAACAAAAGUGUAAAAGUGAGUAAGCUCUUUUCAGAAAACAGGCUUUGAUUUUUUUUGUAUUUGUAUUUUGUUAAAUUCACAUAAAAUAAUGCAUUAAGCUUAAAAGGAAUUAUCAAUAAUCAAAUUAUAUUUUCCCUUCAUCAGAGUUUUCAUUGAGAGUGGUGGAUCUUGUUGAGGGGAAGAAAACUUUCAAUAGACAUUAAAAGUAGUAGUUGAAAAUAUCUUUAAAAUUUACGGAGAGGUGUUAAAACUGAAUUUAAUUUUAAAAGAAUCUUGUAUGUCAUUUGCUUCAAAUGAAGAUUGAACUCCAUGUGGAUGAACUGGAAUUGUUCAUUUAGGGAGUACGGUUUAAAAGAUGUUAAAGAGCUGCAGCUGUAGGGUAAUGAUAGAUAUUGCAAUUAUACAGAGGGGUCUGUCACCUCUGCACUUGCAGUCAGACUCACUUUGGAAUGGAUUUUGUCUAGUUCAAAGUGAAUUUUGUAUUUUCUUUGUAUUUUCUUCUCACACAGAUGUUUAGAGUCAGAUAAAAGCUAAAACUUUGGUUUAUAACUUAGACUUCAUUGGUGGCUGCCAUGACAAACACUAUUGGCACUCCAAUUCUUCCGAAGGCAGUAAUCUUUGUAUCUUGCAGAGAGUGAAAUGGGGGUCUGUGUCAAUAUUGAUGGAUAUUGGCAAGUUUGUUUCAAUUACUGUGAGGCUCCUUGUGCUAUAAGAACAUUUUCUCUUUUAAGACUAUACAGAAGUGUAAGGAUCACUGUUUAGUCUGAGGACGUUAGGAUGCUGUGUUUCAUUCUGCUGUUUAAUUGCUCUUGGGCACCUAUACUGCAUCUGUAAAUGUUACUAUAGCUAUCAUUUGUGUUCCUUUUGUACUGCUGGGCAUGAGUUACAAUAAACUGUUGAAACGA